AACGCAUAUUGCGCUCUUUGGUAUUCCGAAGAGCAUGCUUGUUUGAGUAUCAGUAAACACCUCAACCUCCUCUUGUUUUUUCAAAAGGAGGGUGGACUUGAGCUAUCCCAACAACCUUCACCGGUAGGCGGGCGGCUUGAAAUGCAGGUGCAGCUGGACUUUUAUCUGAGCUAAAAGCAUAUCUAUUUAGUCCUCGUCAAACAGGAUUAUUACUAUUGCUGCAGCUAACAUAAAGGAUAAUUGUCCUCAUUGCUGACUGAUGCAGGAUUUUACGACACUUUAUGUGUUGUUCAACUCGAUCUCAAAUCAAGUAAGACUACCCGCUGAACUUAA
rnacentral:ncRNA from 5 species